GACGAACGCUGGCGGCGUGCUUAACACAUGCAAGUCGAGCGGAGCGGCGAACGGGUGAGUAACGCGUGAGUAACUGCCCCCCUCUCUGGGAUAACAGUUGGAAACGGCUGCUAAUACCGGAUAGUGGGGGAUGACUCGCGUCCUAUCUGCUUGUUGGUGGGGUAGUGGCCUACCAAGGCGACGACGGGUAGCCGGCCGGAGAGGGCGACCGGCCACAGUGGGCUGAGAGACGGCCCAAGCUCCGACGGGAGGCAGCAGUGGGGAAUAGUGCACAAGGGGGGAAACCCUGAUGCAGCAACGCCGCGGGCGGGAGGACGGGCUGCGGGUUGUAAACCGCUUUGAGCCAUGACGCGGUAGUGGCAGAAGAAGCACCGGCUAACUACGUGCCAGCAGCCGCGGUAAUAC
rnacentral:rRNA from 1 species